CGGCAAGGGCCGCAGCAUCCUGCCCGGCUGUCUAUUCAUCUUUUCUCCUCCUCCACUCCUCACUCUUUUCCUCCCCCUGGAUCCCCUUUCUUGUCAAGCUCGCUGGGGACGCCCCCGCUUGCCGUUGCAACGCCAGCCAUUGGCACCGGCGGGAUCCGCCAGCCGUCGGUCCGGAUCGACGAUCACGCUCACGCUUCCGGCUCCGACAUGCACGCCGAUUGGACGCCGCCGUGAACCACCUCGCUUCUCCGGUACGUCUUGAACCAAGGUCGCCUUUCUCGGUUCCGUCGGCGCUGUUGCGACGCCGCCGCGGUCAUCCUCCUCCCCGAGCAGCUCUAGGGGCCGUGACGGGCUCCGCGUCGUCCGCGUCUCCUCUGGACCACGGACUCGAAGCCGUGGGCCCCUCCUACUUCUUCCUCGACCGCUGACCGCCAUUGACGCCGUCCGAAACUUGCUGCCGUCCGUCCGUCCUCUCGCCUCCCUGUUCCGUCCGACCCCGCCACGAACAGCAAGGCGUAUGCUACAGGUCAAUUGGCUACCUUGAUUGAUUAGAAUUUGAUCGUGUGAAAGGUGGUGUGUUCGAUUCUCACCAGAGCUCGUAAUUUUUACCAUGGGGGCAGGCCCAGCGGGAACGUCUCCCCCCACUGAAAGCGCAUCGCCGGAAAUACUGAAAUAAAUCCAGGAAUAAUGCGAGCACCGGAAUUUGAACCCUGGUGGGUUGGGGAUACCAGGGUCCACCUAACCAUCUCAACCACAGGUACGAGAAGGUCAUAUUUGGGUGCAGGGUGACAAUAUUUAUAUAUGCAUCUAAUGACUUAUAUCGCAAAAAAAAAAUGCAUCUAAUGACUCGAGGCAGUUUGGACAUGUGCCUUAUGGUCUCGUACAAGGGAAGAUGUCCUAUCGGAAUUCGACCACGCGCAGAUAGAUGAAACGCAAAAGCUUCUUCAGGCGUGAAGCUUGUUGUUAAUGGAACGGCGUGUCAGUGAUAGGAUCCGAGUUGGAUGAAAGGCAGCCUUGGUAAUCACGGCUUUCAGUGCUUACAUCUCGCCGUAAAUUUGAAACGCGGUGUUUGACAUCUCAUGGAAGAGUGUUUCAGACUAAAUUAUCAUCUUCUUCAGACUAGACAGAACAUUUUCUCGCUGCCACUUCUUCGUGCAGAAAUAUACUACUUUGUACCGAAA